AUUGAACGCUGGCGGCAUGCCUAACACAUGCAAGUCGAACGGCAGCGCGGGGAGCUUGCUCCCUGGCGGCGAGUGGCGAACGGGUGAGUAAUGCUUGGGAAUCUGCCCUGUAGUGGGGGACAACCCGGGGAAACUCGGGCUAAUACCGCAUACGUCCUACGGGAGAAAGCGGGGGAUCUUCGGACCUCGCGCUAUAGGAUGAGCCCAAGUCGGAUUAGCUAGUUGGUGGGGUAAAAGCCUACCAAGGCAACGAUCCGUAGCUGGUCUGAGAGGACGAUCAGCCACACUGGGACUGAGACACGGCCCAG
rnacentral:rRNA from 1 species